AUGCAAUACUCUCAGAAAUCUUGUUUUCCUGAAUGCUUUUGCCAAAUAAAGGAUUUCAUUUUAAUUGCAGAUUUGUUGAAAAAUUCAGAAUGAGAUACAUGUAUUCUCAAAUUGACUGUAGUCGUUCCGAUUAGAAAUGACUGUCUCGUGAAUUUUAAAUCUGUUACUGUCCUCCUUACGUACAACCGGGCGCAUUUCAUUUGCGCCAAUUUUUAAAAAAUCAAACCUUUCAUUUGCGCCACAAGGUUAUAUAUCAUUUGCGCCAAAAAAAAACAAACCUUCAUUUGCGCCAUUUUACAGGUAUGACAGGUAAUAUAACGGAAAAGUUAAAUAUUAUUUACGAUUUAUUUUGUUUUUUGUUUGUACAUAACUCCCCCUGGAUAUAUGUGUGAGUUCAUACUCAUUUGUAAUACAAAACUGAGAGUCACUAAGGU
rnacentral:lncRNA from 1 species